rnacentral:rRNA from 1 species
AUGUGGAAUGAUGAGCUUCAAGUUCAUGUGCAUAUGGCUUCCUUCUACGAUAUAUUAGCAACCGUUGUACAUAUUGCUACGGGUAGGGAUUUUGGGCUUGUUUGUAUCUAUGGUGAUCCAUAUCAUAGACAAACUGAUAUGAUUUGGGAUCAAAUUUCUAAUUUUGUGUAUGAUAAUCCUGGCAAGCCUAUAUUAUGUAUGGGAGACCUUAAUGAGCUUUUGUAUGAUAUGGAUAAAAGUAAUGUUAAUGUGAAUCAUGGUCGCUUGCAUGCCUUUCGUGCUUUGAUCAAGAAUUGUGGUUUUUUUGAUUUGGGAUUUUCGGGGCCUGCUUAUAGUUGGACAAAUAGAAGAUUUUCUUCCAAUCCUACUUAUGAAAGGCUUGAUAGAGGAUUAGUUAAUCCUGAUUGGUGUGAUGAGUUUCCCCAUACUAAAGUUCUUAAUCUUCCUAUUAUUCUUAGCGAUCAUGCUCCUAUCUUGAUUACCACUGAAGGUCAACACAAAAAACCUAAGCAAACUUUCAAAUUUGAUAAUUGGUGGUUGAAAGAAAAUGAUUUUCAAUCUUCUGCAAAGAAUGCUUGGGCCUCUAGUACAAACAGAAAUUUUUCUGCUCGUACUAACAAUCUUGCAGGUGCUCUGAAAGUGUGGUGCAAAAAUAAGAAACCUUUACAACAGGAACUCUCCAGCCUAGAAGAACAAAUCAACCGUAUUCAAAUGCAGCCUCUAUCCAUGUAG